UACGGAGGGGGCUAGCGUUGUUCGGAAUUACUGGGCGUAAAGAGCUCGUAGGCGGCUUGGCAAGUCGGGUGUGAAACCUCCAGGCUCAACCUGGAGACGCCACUCGAUACUGCUAUGGCUAGAGUCCGGUAGGGGACCACGGAAUUCCUGGUGUAGCGGUGAAAUGCGCAGAUAUCAGGAGGAACACCGGUGGCGAAGGCGGUGGUCUGGGCCGGCACUGACGCUGAGGAGCGAAAGCGUGGGUAGCAAACAGG
rnacentral:rRNA from 1 species